AUUAAGGAUGAUGUUAAUUGUAGCUCUAUAGGCUUCUUAUGAGGAGUUUGGGGUGGAAUUGACUUGGUGGUGGAACACAUCCAUUUCUAGUGCUACAAAUUGCCAGCUUCCUAUGAAUAUACUCCCUUUCUG